CCUACGGGUGGCAGCAAUGAGGAAUAUUGGUCAAUGGGCGGAAGCCUGAACCAGCCAAGUCGCGUGAGGGACUAAGGCCCUACGGGUCGUAAACCUCUUUUGCCGGGGAUCAGGGCCCAGCUCUCGAGCUGGGAGGGAGCGUACCCGGACAAAAAGCAUCGGCUAACUCCGUGCCAGCAGCCGCGGUCAUACGGAGGAUGCGAGCGUUAUCCGGAUUUAUUGGGUUUAAAGGGAGCGUAGGCGGGCCUUCAGGCCGGCUGUGAAAUUACGGGGCUUCACCCCGCCGUAGCCGUCGGAACGGGGAGCCUUGAGUACCGGAGAAGUACGCGGAAUGCGUGGUGUAGCGGUGAAAUGCAUAGAGAUCACGCAGAACCCCGGUGGCGAAGGCAGCGUACCGGCCGGACACUGACGCUGAGGUACGAAAGCGCGGGUAUCGAACAGGAUUAGAUACCCGUGUAGUC
rnacentral:rRNA from 1 species